CUCAGAAGAGGUACGAAGGAAGAAAACACACCUCAGAGCUCUUCCAGAUCUACCAGCCACACAGACUGAGGCCACAGAAAAUGCACAAAAAGAGGGUGAAGGAGAGUGAAUGCUCACAGAGCCACAAGCGCGCCCAAAAAGGGAUGUGAAGCCACCAGAGUGGCUGAAAGACUGUUACGUGAAGAGAAAACUGUUGGGGACCAUACCCAGCAAAAAGAGACUGUACCUAAGUUAAUGUUCAUACUGUGUGAUUUAAUGCUUUCAUACUGUUUCAGGAUGUGAAGUAGCAUGUUAGAGAAUAAUACUGGUUUCCAAAUUGCAUUUCAGUUAUGCUUCAGUGGUUAUGCAUGUUGAGUUCUUGUUCAUGGGAGAGGGGAAGAUGUAGUAGGAUGUCCCUUGGGGGUAUCCGUACCUAUGUAUGACAUGCGAGGGUUAGGUUAGUAAAAGAUGCUGGAGCUAGAACCUCAUUGUUGUGCGUCCUUAUUUUAGAUAAUACUACUGGUACAGUGACCAGAAGAACAUCGACCAUUCAGCUAAACGGCAAAACAAAAGCAGGGAGCAUAUAAAUGCCCACAUCAGAUUCAAGCUUCUGGGAAAAAGCUGCAUCGAUUAUGACAAAGGUCUGCAUAUACAAACUGCGCAACACAAUGAGAAAGUAAUUACAGGAUAAGUUCUGCCAACAAGGGCAACUAUAAGGAGCUUGCAGAGGUGAUGACUACUCCACACCACUACCACUGUCAACUUUCUCAUGACAUGAACUGAAGCCACAUCUCAUGUGCCUACUCAUCUACUGGCACAUUGAAUGUUUUCCCUCCACGCACUUCAAAUCCUGUCCUGCACUGGUCAAGCCUCUGAACACCUCAACUCAUGCCUC